AAAAGCCCGUAGUUGAACUUCAGGCCUGGUGGGGUGGUCCGCUUAACGGCGUGUACUGCUCUGCUGGGUCUUACCUCUUGGUGAGCCGGCGUGGCCUUCACUGGUUGCGUCGGGGAACCAGGACUUUUACCUUGAGAAAAUUAGAGUGUUCAAAGCAGGCCUAUGCCUGAAUACAUUAGCAUGGAAUAAUAAAAUAGGACGUGCGGUUCUAUUUUGUUGGUUUCUAGAGUCGCCGUAAUGAUUAAUAGGGAUAGUUGGGGGCAUUGGUAUUGAGUCGCUAGAGGUGAAAUUCUUGGAUUGACUCAAGACCGACUACUGCGAAAGCAUUUGCCAAGGAUGUUUUCAUUAAUCAAGGACGAAGGUUAGGGGAUCGAAAACGAUCAGAUACCGUUGUAGUCUUAACAGUAAACUAUGCCGACUAGGGAUCGGGCGACCUCAAAUUUGAUGUGUCGCUCGGCACCUUACGAGAAAUCAAAGUUUUUGGGUUCUGGGGGGAGGUAUU
rnacentral:ncRNA from 1 species